rnacentral:tRNA from 1 species
GUUUUAAUAGUUUAAAUAAAACAUUGGUCUUGUAAAUCAAAAAUAAGGGUAACUUUUAAAACU